rnacentral:lncRNA from 1 species
AUAAGUGUGGAGGUUUCCAGGCCAAAGAAAUCAAGAAGCGCGACGGAGAAAGAAGAUGAAGAUGAAGUUUUAGUUAUUGAAGGGAUUGAGUAUGAAGAAAAUCAAUUAAUUAAGUUCGAUGUCCUCGUCAACGAUGAACCUGAUUCACCUGGUGGACCAGACAACUCCGAGUUUGCAGGAAGUUUCGUCAAUGUGCCUCACAAGCAUGCAAAAAAAUCAAAGACAACUAUGGUAUUGGGGAUUACAGGAUUGUUGGAAGAUCUGGAAGCUGAAGGAGAUGAUACCCUUGUGGUGACUUUAGUGCCUCGGUCUGGUGGUGAUUCUGUUACCGUUGCUAAUGUCAAGAUUGAGUUUGUCGCUGACUGAUCAUGGUGAUGAGAGGACAUAUGCUACCAUUUUCUUUUCUUUUUUUCCUUUUGCCUUUUCUUGUUUUUUCUCUUUCUAUGUCAGUAUUCAGUGAGUUUUCUCUUUUUUCUUUCAAGAUGCUCAACUAAUGGACCGUAUUUCAAUUUGAAUACUACAAUGGUUUCUUAGAUUUGUUGCCAGAAGUAGAUGAACAAAAAUAACUAGACCCAUAUGGUAAAAAAUAAUUGUCAUUUUAGACGUUUUUUUAAAUGAUACAUAAACCUAAAACAAUAUGGUUUUGAAAGAAAAAAACUAAAUUUUAUCAUAAACAAACCCAUAUCAGAUCUCAAAUAAAUGAAUUACCAAGUUGACCCUAGAUCUUAUAUAACUAGGUCUGGAUUGACAAAAAUAACUAGACUCAUUCGGUUAAAAAAAAAAAAAGACGACGUGAUGGAGGACUGGCCAAAGCUACUUUCUUCCCCUCUGCCUCUGUAUGAGGCUUAUAUAGCCUAAAACGCAGCUCUAUUUAGGAAACAAAAUCUAGGGACACAAUCAUGGGUGGCUUACAAUCGAAUAAAGCAAAUUAGGAAGCAAAAUAUUGUGAUUUAUUCUAUGAUCUCGGUAAUUAUUUCCCACGUGUAGAAUAUUAGCCAUUAGGUGAUGGUGCGACUCCCCUUUGCGUUCUUCCAUAGCUGGCAUAUAGGUGUUCAAAGUCAUUACCUUUGGACCAAAGAUGAAAAAGCUAGCGGGAAUGGUUUGCAGGGUUCGUUGCGUGCAGAAUAUUGGGUUGUUCUGCAUGUAACGUCAUUAAUUACCCUUGACCUGUUUCAUAUGGGGUGGGUCGAGACCGAACGGUUAUGGGGUGAGCCUCGACCCAAUUGCCUUUCGGGUUGGCCGAGAACCACUGCUUUUGGGGUUGCAGGACCCAUUUGUCUUUGGGUCUAUCCUCAGCCCCAUUGGCUUUGGGGUCGGCCGAGACCCACUCUUUUUGGGGUGAUAAGACCCAUUUCUCCUUGGGUUUAGCCUCGGCCCAAUUGCCUUUGGGGCCGGCCGAGACCCACUCCUUUUGGGGUGACAGGACCCAUUUCUCUUUGGGUCGAGCCUCGGCCCAAUUGCCUUUGGGGCCGGCUGAGACCCACUUCUUUGAGGCUGGUAGGACCCAUUUCUCCUUGGGUAUAGCCUCGACUUAAUUGCCUUUGGGGUCGGCCGAGACCCACUCUUUUUGGGGUGGCAGGACCCAUUUGUCCUUAGGUCUAUCCUCUACCCAAUUGCCUUUGGGGCCGGCCGAGACCCACUCUUAAGCGUGUGGUAGGACCUAUUUGUCCUUGGGCCUAGCCUUGACCCAAUUGCCUUUGAGGCCGACAGAGACCCACCCCUUUUGGGGUGGCAGGACCCAUUUGUCCUUGGAUUGAUCCUCGACCCAAUUGCCUUUGGGGUCGGCCGAGACCCACUCCUAACUAGGAGGGUGUCAGGACCUAUUUUUUCCUUGGGUCAUGUGUGGGCCCAAAUUCCUUUAGGGUCGACCGAGACCCACUCCUUGGGGGGGUGGCAGGACCCCUUUUCUCUUUGGGUCCAACCACGACUUAGCCUCCUUUUGGGGCCGGUUAGGACCUCUCUCCUCUUAGGUCCGACCACGGUUUGGCCCCUUUUUAGGGUCGGCAAGGACCCCUCUCCUUUUUUGGUCCGGCCACGGCUUGGCCCCUUUUUAGGGCCGACCAUGACCCUUUUUCUUUGGGUCUGGCCACGGCUUGGCCCCUUUUUCUUUGGGUCUUGGCUUUUUUUUUUAGGCUAAAAAUGGGUAACAACAGAUGCCCCCUCUUUACAAUGCUUACGACGCAAAACUUCCUCAAUGUUUUGCAUGGUAAGCUUGUAAAGAAAACAAAAGGUCCUUCUUGCUUGCUGAGUGAUCCACUCAUCCAAGGGCUUCAAAAGGUAAAUGGUCUCAAUAUUAUCGGUGACUUGUCCAGAAAAAUAAUGGUCUCAUUGUAAAGGGUGACCUACCCAAAGAAAAAUGGAAAACGGUCUCAUUCUAAUAGUUGACUUACCUAGAGAAAGAAAAACAAUGAUGGUCUUAUUAUGACAGGUGGCCUACCUAAAAAAUGAUGGCCUCAUUGUGAUGGGUGAUCUACCCUAGUGGAAAAAAAUGAUGGUCUCGUUGUGAUAGGUGACCCACCCAAAUGCAAGAUGGUCUCAUUAUGAUGGGUGACCCACCCAAAAACAUGAUGGUCUCAUUGUGAUGGGUGACCUACCUAGAUGGAAAAUGAUUGUCUUAUUGUGAUGGGUGACCUACCCAGAUGGAAGAUGAUGGUCUUAUUAUGAUGGGUGACUUACCCAGAUGUAAGUGAAAAGGUUUUUAGAAAGGGGUCUGAAUAUAUAGAUGCUUGCCCAUUAUAAAGAUUUUCGAAAAAAUCCAUGUUUUUUUUAGGAAAUAGUCUCAAUAUCGGAUGACCUGCCCGUUUUAAGAUUUUUAUAAAAACUCCAUGCUUUUUCUUUAAAAUGGUCUCGAUAUCAAGUGACUUACCCGUUUUAAACUUCAAAAGAAAUCAUCUUACCUCGAGGAAUAAAGUAGUGGUGGUUCAUUUUCUUUUUCAUAAUUCCGUUGACCUGAGAUUUUGUACCUCAGCGGUUCCCAAAACCUUGGAGCUAUUUUGUCUUUCAUCACACCUUUCCUGCCAGGUUAGUAUUAUGACAAUAUAGCAUGCAUGUUUUGUUACCUAUUUUGGAAACAUAGGUCCCCCCUUUACAUUGUAGACUUCUUUGAGCUCUUGUUUCCAUUUGUUUGCCCGACCUGUCCUUUUGAACCAGAAUAUGCUCUCGUGCUACAUUUCCUAUCCUUUUCAUGCUUGAUGAAGAGAUUUCCAGUUCCUUAUAGGGCCCUUUCUUACUCUAUUGAAUAUCGCCUUUUAUUAUACUUUUGCUGAUGUUUUAAUUGUCUUUUCUAUUUUUAAGAAAUUAUUUAAAGAGGAAAACUCAAAAGAUUUGGUUUUGUUCAUGAAAAUCGAAACAUGCAAUCAUCAAAUUUUGUUUUAAGCAAUUCUUAUAAAGGUGUUUCAAAGGUUUUUAUAAUGAUACCCCUUAAUGUUGGGCUUUGGUUCACUAUGUACCCCUAUAUGCACUUCGUGCACUUCUUGCCCCCAGUGUGGUGUGCAAAUGUAUGUCAAGUUUAGAUUUGGUUUGGUUCUCUCCAAUUUAGGAGUUUGAUGGAGUCAUCUUGAGCAUAUUAUGAUUCCUUAGUCAUGCGUAAAAAAGUUCUUUUAAGUAAAAGAUUUCAAAUGCUAUGAGAUCAUGCGUUUUAUGAAGAAAAGGUUCUUUACAAAGAGAAUUCAUGGCCGAACUUUAUUUUAUUGAUUGGGAAAUUACGUAAUAAAUCAAGCGUAAUAUUUCUUUAUAGAGUCAAAAGUCACAGGUCUAACUAAAUCUUCUUCAUCCAUUCUAGAUAAUAGCAAAGCUCCUCCCGAGAAGGCUUUCUUCACCACGUAAGGGUCCUCUUAGUUUGGUGCCCUUUUACUCUGAUCUUCUCUUGAUAAAGGCAAUAUUUUCUUUAGCACAAGGUCUCCUUCAUGGAACCCUCGAAGUCGGACCUUCUAGUCAUGAUUCGGUCAUUCUUCUUUGGUAUAGUUGAUGAUGACAGAUUGUAGCUAUCCUCUUUUCACUGAUCAGAUUCAGUUGUUCAUAUCUAACUUUUUCUCAUUCUACCUCUUCUAGCACAGAGUCUACCAAUACUCUCAAUGAGGGGAUUUCCACUUCUAAAGGCAUCACUGCCUCUAUCCCAUAUACCAACGUGUACGGGGUGGCUCCUAUUGAGGUGCGGACUGUGGUGUGAUACGCAUGAAGGUCAAAUGACAACAUCUCAUGCCAAUCCUUGUAGGUGACUACCAUCUUCUGAAUAAUCUUCUUGACAUUCUUGUUAGUAGUUUUUACCGCACCAUUCAUUUUUGGCUUAUAUGGUGAGGAGUUGGAAUGCUUGAUUUUUCAUUUAGCGCAGAGUUCUGUUAUCAUUUUGCCAUUGAAAUUCUGGGCAUUAUCAGUUAUAAUCUUUUAUGGUGGAACAUACCGAUAAAUCAAAUCUCUCUCAAUAAAUGUCUUCACCACUUUUUGCGUCACAUGAGCAAAUGAACUGACUUCUACCCAUUUUGUAAAGUAGUUGAUAGCCACGAGAAUAAACCUAUGACCAUUGUUGGUUUUUGGGUUGAUAGGUCCAAUCACAUCAAUCCCCUACAUCGCGAAGGGCCAUGGAGAUGUCAAGUUAAACAAAGGAAUUGGAGGGGCGUUGAUUUUAUCACUGUACACCUGGCACUUAUGGCAUCCUUUCAUGGACUUCCCAUAAUGUGUCCUUGGCCUUAGCUUCAUCCAAACAUCUCAACAAAGUCCCAUCAGAUGAUUUCUUAUACAAAAUCUUCCCAUCAAGAUAAAAGUCCAUUGCCAACCUUCCCAAGGUCUUCUUAUCUAUUUUGGAUGCCCCCAUGGGAUAUGCCUGGUUUUGUAAAGAGUUCUUGGUAUCAUAGUACCAAGGGUUUCCAUCAAUUUCGACUGAGCAACAAUGAGCUAGGUUAUUCUUGAUAUCAAUGUGUUUCGGUUUUUCCUUGUGCCCAAAGUCUAUUUUAGCCAUAAAAGCUAGUGUGGCCAAAGCGUCAAUAAACUGGUUUCCUUCCCUUCUUAAAUGGGUGAACUCAAUUUCCUCAAAUUCUCUAGCAAGUUUAGACAGGUAUUCUUGGUAAGGUCUCAAUUGUUCGUCCCUAGUUUUCCAUUUUCCUUUCACUAGGCAAAUAAUUAGCAUUGAGUCUCCAUACACAUCUAUCUUUCUGAUUUUUAGCUCCAAUGCAGCCUCUAAACCGAGAAUGCAAUCUUCAUACUCAGUUGUGUUGUUAGUGCACCCAAACUGCAACUUAACUGAAACCGGAUACUGUUUCUUAUUAGGAGAGAUUAUCAUUGCACCUGUUUCGUUACCACAUACAUUUACAGCACCAUCAAAGUACAUAGUCCACCACUUUGAUUUCCCUUCCUCGACUACAAGCACAUCUUCAUCAGGAAAAUCAAAGUUUAACGGCUCAUAAUCUUCCAUAGCAUGGUCAGCUAGGUGAUCAGCGAUGACACUCCCUUCCAUGGCUUUCCUUAUCAUAUAUACUAUGUCAUAUUUAGCCAACAAAACUUGCCAUCUUGCAAUUUGGCUUGACAGAUAGGGCUUUUCGUAGAUAUACCUUAAUGGGUCUAAUUUUAAAAUCAACCACGUAGUAGAUACAACAUAUACUGACGCAAUCUCUUUGCAGCCCAUGCUAGUGCGCAACACAACUUCUCAAUCACUGUAUACCUAGACUCACAUUCCGUGAACUUCUUGCUUAGGUAAUAAAUGACGCCAAAGCCAUUGCACUGAUGAAAAGUCUUCCUGACGAUGAUCCACGUAGCUUCAAGAGCCAAGCCGACGUUCACUGCGCUUAUUGUGAUGGUGCUUAUCACCAAGCAGGCUUUCCUGAUUUAGACCUUCAAAUUCACUUCUCGUGGCUCUUCUUUCCCUGACAUAGACUCUAUUUAUACUACUUCGAAAGAAUCUUGGGUAAACUGAUUGAUGAUCCAACUUUCGCUUUGCCUUUCUGGAAUUGGGAUGCCCCUGCCGGCAUGCAAAUGCCAGCCAUUUUUACUGACCCCAAAUCACCACUUUAUGACCCCCUUCGCGACGCGAAUCACCAACCUCCGACAUUGCUUGAUCUUAAUUACGCGAAAGGAGAUGCGAAUCCAGACCCUGCAAAAGCAGAGGAAUUGUAUGCAAGCAAUCUUAACGUAAUGUACAGGCAAAUGGUGUCCGGUGCCACGAAGCCUACUCUCUUUUUUGGAAAACCAUAUCGUGCUGGUGAUGAUUCAAGUCCUGGAAUGGGUACAAUUGAGACCACCCCACACACUCAGAUUCACUACUGGACCGGCGACCCCAAUCAAACUAACGGGGAAAAUAUGGGCAAUUUCUACUCAGCAGGGAGAGAUCCCAUAUUUUAUUGUCAUCACUCGAACGUCGACCGAAUGUGGGACAUGUGGAAGAAAAUACCAGGAGGCAAGCGAAAGGAUAUCGAGGAUCCUGAUUGGCUUAAUUCAGAGUUUCUUUUCUGGGAUGAGAAUAAAGAGCUGGUUCGUGUAAAGGUUAAAGAUACUCUUGACACCAAGAAGCUAAGAUAUGGCUUUCAAGAUGUUCCUAUUCCUUGGCUGAAAACUAGACCAGCACCAAAAUUAACAAGGCAGGAAAAAUCACGUCGUGCAGCUAAAAAAACCGUUGUAUUAACACCAAUUAGUGCAUUCCCUGUUGUCUUGGAUAAAGUCGUAAGUGUGGAGGUUUCCAGGCCAAAGAAAUCAAGAAGCGCGACGGAGAAAGAAGAUGAAGAUGAAGUUUUAGUUAUUGAAGGGAUUGAGUUUGAAGAAAAUCAAUUAAUUAAGUUUGAUGUCCUCGUCAACGAUGAACCUGAUUCACCUGGUGGACCAGACAAGUCCGAGUUUGCAGGAAGUUUCGUCAAUGUGCCUCACAAGCAUGCAAAAAAAUCAAAGACAACUAUGGUAUUGGGGAUUACAGGAUUGAUGGAAGAUCCGGAAGCUGAAGGAGAUGAAACCCUUGUGGUGACUUUCGUGCCUCGGACUGGUGGUGAUUUUGUUACCGUUGCCAAUGUCAAGAUUGAGUUUGUCGCUGACUGAUCAUGGUGAUGAGAGGACAUAUGCUACCAUUUUAUUUUCUUUUCUUUUUUUCCUUUUGCCUUUUCUUGUUUUUUCUCUUUCUAUGUCAGUAUUCAGUGAGUUUUCUCUUUUUUCUUUCAAGAUGCUCAACUAAUGGACCGUAUUUCAAUUUGAAUACUACAAUGGUUUCUUAGAUUUGUUGCCAGAAGUUGAUGAACAAAAAUAACUAGACCCAUAUGGUAAAAAAUAAUUGUCAUUUUAGACUUUUUUUUAAAUGAUACAUAAACCAAAACCAAUAUGGUUUUGAAAGAAAGAAAAAAACUAAAUUUGAUCAUAAACAAACCCAUAUCAGAUCUCAAAUAAAUGAAUUACCAAGGCGGCAGAUGUCUCCCGACCCCGAAAGGUACCUUCUAUGAGAAAUUGGAAGAUGUCUUCCUUUUUUACACUUGGGUCAUUGAGAAAAGUGGAAAUGUCCACUGACGCCGCGCUUGAUCAACAUAGGUGGGUUUACUUAAUGCGGCAGUGGACGAGGAGUGUUUCGAUUGAAAAUAAGGAGGUUUUUCCUUCUACUUUUAAGAGGAAAAAAAAAGCCAAAUUUUAUAAAAUUUUCAUUGCAAUGGACAGAUAAAUACCCAAUUUUCCACACCUCUCGCCUGUAAUACAAUAUGACAUACAGUAUAAUUAGUACAAAAACGCAAGGCAGUACUAUAAUUAGAGAUUUUCUGUUUUUUCUUUUCUUUUUCUUUCAAAAGUGAACUAUAUAUCUUAUACAUUCCCCAAAAAAAAAAUCUGCCUUUUUCUUUACGUAAAAUCGUUUUUGGAAAGGCAACGUAGUUUUAUUUAUAUUUUCAUAGAGCAAAUAUUACUAAAAGAAGGUUAAAUCAAGUAUAUACCUCGAUUAAUAAUACAUGAUUAUUUUUUAUUCAGUUUGGUGUUGGAAAAAAAACAUUAAAAUAACCAAAUUAUAAAUUUUAUUUUUUAAAUUUCAAAACCAGACCAAAUCAAAAACUAUUUCAAACCAACGGAGUAUGAAUAACACGAUAGAAAAUCCUCGGCAAUAGAUGAAACAAAGGAACACUCUUAUUCAAUUCCUAAUUUGUUGAUGCCAUCAACCCUAAAAAUAGCAAAAUUUUAAAUCUUUAACUAGAAAUAGCACAAACCUACAAACAAAAACCAAUCCAAGACUAAAAAUUCCCAUUAAACAACACCCAUUUACUUCAUCACUCACUAAACAGAAAAAUGUUCAAAAUCCAAUCUUUACUUGUUUUUUAUGACCCUGAGGAAAAUAGAACACUCUUUCUCCACGCUUGAGAACAUUCACAACUGGACCUACACCUGCCUUCUCUAUAUACAAUCAUCCCCUCUAUAACCUGGAACCAGAAAGGAAAAGUCAAUUUUCUUAGGAAACAAAAAGAAUAAAAAAAAUAAAGUCAUUUCACACUUCGCCUUCAUUGUUCCCAUAUUCCUCCUCCUCCUCAUAUUCCUCUAUUCAUAGCCAUCAUUUUUCAAAACCCAACAAGCAACAGAAACAGCAACAGAAGUCAACAAAAACUUGAAGAAUCGUGCUUGAAAAAUAGAGACUUGCCAGAGAAGACAAAUGCGAGACAACUAGAGAGACAGAAGGGGGUGGGCUAUGAAUGGGGCUAUAGAGGAGAUCGAGAGAAAAGGGUGGAAAGGGAGAAGGGGGUUUGCGAUUGUGAGAGUGAGUUUUAGGGUUUAAGUCUUUUGAAGACACUUUUCUAUUUAUUUGUUUCAUCUGCUAUCGCGGUGAAUUUUAAAAAUUCAUUUCGCAGAAAGAACAAAUUUUUAUGGUAUCGCGUUUUCCAAUAAAUCCUAAUUUAGUUAAUAAAAAUUUUAUGGUAUGAAACUAGAAAUAUAAAAAAAUUAAUAUUAUUUUUUUAAAAUAUUUUGUUUAAAAUAAAUUGUCUUAAAUUACUAAGAAUUUAUUUUAUUUUAUUUUAUUUUUUAUGGUUUAUUUAUAAUAUUUUUAUCUCUAGCGCCAGUGAAUAUUCUACUUCAGAUAUUUCCAACUUUAAAGUCAAUAAAUAUUACAUAGCAAAAAAAAUAUAUGAUAUUCUUGACUCUGGCACAAUGAAUAAAUUAAUAAAAUGAAUUUAAAACAAAACAUAUAUAUUUUUAUAUUUUUUUAAAAAUAAUAAUAAUAAAGGCGAAUGGGCUAGAUGGGCCUGAGACCUAGGCCCAACCCAACCCUAACUUUUUUCUUGUUUUUCCUUUUUUUUUAGUUGGGUCCAGUCAGCCCGUACGGCCCCGCCAGGUCACUAGCCCAAGCUAGUGACCCGGCUGGGCAGCAAGCACGCGUGAUGCGUGUGGUACAAUGAUGUACUAAUUAUAAUUCACAACAACAGUAACAAGUGAAUUAGAGCAUCUCCAACAAGUGUGCUAAAUGAAAAAAAUAUUAUUUUGACUCUUUCAUGCUUAUUUUACACACUCCAAAGGAAGUACUAAACAAAAUGUUAAAAUGCAUUUUCAUUUUCUCUUUCACAAACAUUAUUUUUAUAUAUCUCUCAAAAAAGUCAAAAUCAACAAAGUGGGGUCAACAAAAAAAUAAACCAAUUAAACGUGGCUAUAUGGAAAAAAAAUAACAUCAAACUUAUUAAGAGAAAAUAAAAUACUUGUUUCUUUUACUUUAAUAUAAUUAGCUUUUCAAAUGAUUUGUUUUCAUUGGAAUAUAUAUGGAGGACUGGCCAAAGCUACUUUCUUCCCCUCUGCCUCUGUUCUUUGUGUGCUUCUCCUCUGGUCUUGCUUUUCUUUGCUUGGUUUCUUUUUGCUUCUCUUGUUCUCCCUGUCUCCCUCAGUGUCUGCUUGGUAUUCUCGUGUUGCUCGUCAUGUUCUCUGGUUUUCUUCCUUUCUUUUCAGUGUCUGUGUCGUCUGUGUUUUUUUGUUCCUGUGUUGUUCUAUGUUGGCUUGAGCUUGCUCCCAGUUGCUGGAGUUUUGACGGAGAUUCUACAAUCCCUUUCCUCUGUUUCACUCUGCCUCUGGUUUUUUUUUUCUCUGGUUCGUCCUUCCUGUAUUUGCUCGUUCGUCCCCUUCUCUCUCUAAUGGUUUUUUCUUGUCCUCUCCUCCCCUGGUUUUUCUGUUCUUCCGUUCAUUUCCUUCUUGUAUUCGCUCAUUCAUCCCCUUCUCUCUCUACUAUUUUUUUUAUCCUCUCCCCUCCCCACUCAUUCAUGGCCUUUCUUCGGCUUUUAUAAAGCCAUAGAAUGCCAAACAUUCGUGCAUCAUGGGGGCGAGGGAUAGCAGCUGGGAGACGUGGUCCAUGAUUGAAACGGUUUUGGUGCAUUCACUGUGCAUUGAUAUUCUUUAAGUUUUCUAUGUAGCUCUAGUUUAUAUUUACAAUUAAGUUUUGAAUUUUAAUAAUAUUUGCAUUUAAGUAACAAUAUUUCAUUCUAAUUAUGUUUUUAAUUCUUGAGCAGGUGUAAAAGAAAAGAAAUAGAGAGGAAAAUACUCCAAUUAAGGUAUUUUCCAACCUUAAAAUUGUUAAACUUGGUUUUUACGUGUUCGAUUGACAAAGGGAUUUUUUUUAUGGUGAUAAAAAGCCUUAACAUAGCAGAAGAAAGAAGAUCAAGAAUUCAAUAAUAUAAAGUUUUUUUUUAUUUGGUUGGGUUUUGAAGGUUUUUUGGCCUGUUUAAUUAGAUAUGUUUUGAGAUUGAAAAUGAGUUUAUAAAAGUUGUUAGCAUAAUGUUUUGAUGUUUGGAGGGGAUAAUGAAAGAUUUAGAUUUGCAUCAGUCUUGUAAUUUUUUAAUAGCCAAAUGAUUGUUGAAAAUAUUAAUUGGUCAAAACAAUUUGGAAAAAUUAACCUGACCCUUUUGUAGUUUAGUCAUCCUUUUCCUUUGCCUCCAUUCUUUAAAAAAUUAUGAUUUACAUUUUGAAGUUCAUGAGUUCCUAAAACUUCACUGCACGCCAAAACAAAUCAACAAAAAACAUUAAAUUGUUUACAAGAUUGUCAUUAUAUUUCAUUUAAUGACUAAAAAGCUUUUGGAACGUUAAAAUUAAUAAAUUGCCACAAUUUGUUUUUUAAAAAAAAACUAGCUACUGAAAAUCUUACCCUAGCUCCAUCUCUUCUCUUGUUUUCUUCUAGCCACCACAAUCACCUUACAUCUAUCAUCUCUCUUAUCACAAUACAGAAGUUACCUUACAUCCUUUUAUAAUAACACACGCACAACUACACCAGCCAUCUAACACCAUCUACUAUGCAAAGCAAGUAACAAUUGAACUUGUUUUAUCACCCUCAAGAUAAACCACUUCCACACUUGAACACUCUCAUUUCAAUAUUUGUUGUAAGAGAUAGUAGAGUUUUUGGCUCUUCUCAUUAAGAAGGGAAAAAUAUUUUCUUCAGACAUUCAAUCUAUCAAAAUUUACAAGUCUCGAACAAGUGAUAAAAGGGAAAAAUUCAUUCCCUUAGUUUACAAUCUUAAAAAGGAAAUAAAAAACACCAAUUCUUCAAGACUCCAAAUCAAUUCUCAUAGAUACUAAAUUCAAAGAAGAAACAAUUAAUUAAGAAUUUAAGAUGACAAAACAAAGCCCUUACCAACAAAACCCAAGAAUUACAACCUUAUGUGUAAAAAUAAUUAUAAUAAUUCCAUUAGGAAGUAGAAUCGUGACUCAAUAUAGAUAAAAUUACAACACAAAUAAUUUAAACCCGCCCUCCAAAAUCUUGAAAACAAAAAUCUUUAUCAAAGAACCUCCAUACCCACAUAAAAUAAACUACAAAUUAAUAACAUAAUUAAAUGAGUCUUAGACCUGAAGAGAGAAAGCAAAAGGCGAUGGGUGGGAUUAAUUUUUUAGAACAGGGCUUCACUAGGAGAGGAAGUGCUUGUUACAAGCAUUUCAGUUUUAACUAUGAGAGUGCAAUGGGCCAUGUGGAAGUGGAUCUCCAAAAUUGGUGAUGUUUUGCAAACCCAUGAUAAGAUAGAUUAUGUUGGAAGAGAGAGAGAGAGAGAUAUUGUGUUUGAAAAGAGAUAAAUUUUUAUAUGUUCUUGGGUGUUUUUGAUAUGUAAUAUACAAGGAUAAUUUGAUCUUUUUAUUUUAUUUGAGAAAUUAUUUUGAUCUAUAAUGUAAACUAUAAUUUUUAAAAGAGCAUAGGCAAGGUAAAAAAAAAAAGAACUAAACUAUAAUCAGGUUCAUCGAUGUCCUCGUCAACGAUGAACUUGAUUCACCUGGUGGACCAGACAAGUCCGGUAGUGAUAACUACAAGAUUUCACAGUUUUACCGACGAAAAUAUUCUGUCGAUCUGUGAUUCAGAGUUUGUCGGUAAUUUUUUUACCGACAAAAUCAUCAACGGGAAACGUCCAUCGGCUUUCCUUUCGUCGGUAAUACCUAAUUCCAUCACUAAAUCGGUUGGUAAAAAAAAACAAUUUCUGAUGGUUUUGCAGACGGAAAUUACGCACCAAAAAAAAUAUUUCCGCUUGAAAUAUAUCGACGGAUGUAUUCCGUCGGUGAUAGUGGCAUAUCCAGUAAAUAUUUUUCAGCUCCUGGUUAAAUGCCAACGGACUAUAUCCCUCUGUAAAUUUGUCGGUGAGUGGUGAAAUGCUGACAGAAUUUAUCCGUCUGGAAAUUCAUUGGGGAUUGUGAAAGCUACUGUGACAUGCCGACGGAUAUAGUCCGUCUGUAAAUCCCUCGGUGAUUAUUUUUAAAUAUUUUUAAAAAAACUUAUUUAGAAUAAAUAAUAUAAAAUUAUAUAAAUUAAUAGAAAAAAAAACAAUUAUGCAAAUAAAAUUUUUAUUAAACAUCAAAAACAAAAGAAAUAAUGUUAAAUAAUAUUCAUUACAAAUUGAAUGUGUUUCAAAAACAAAUAUUAAAUUAACAUAAUGACGAAGCUGGAGGAGGAGGCUGGUUGUUAUAAGGCCAAAAAGGAGGCACACAUGUAUCACCACUCUGUGAUGUCAUGUUCAUGACCAAUUGGUGAAGCUGUUCAUAAUUCACCGAGAGGUUCUCAUAUUUUUCGGUGAGCUGAGCCGUGUGUUGUUGCAAGGCCACGAACUCCUUAGAUUGGGUGCUCGAUACUGAUUGGGAGCUCCCAACGGUUGAUACACUACGGGCUGCCCGCAAGUUCUCGACUGUAGUGGUGGAGAGCUCGUACACUUGAUUUUUAUCCGGUCCACCGGACGAUCCAACCACUAUCCACAAAUCCGGAUCGAAAUCCAGAUGGGUCGAAAGAUCGUCCCUAUAUCUCUCCCUCAACCGGCUAUUAUAGGUCUCUUGAAAAUGAAAAAAGAAAUCAUCAUAUUCAAUUCAAUAAAAAUAAUAACUUACAAAAUAAAAUGUUUGAACAAACAUACCACAAAGUGUUGAGCACGGUCGUCAACGAACUGUUUGCGCCUCCUUUUGACGGUCUUUACUCCGCACGUGCGUCUCAACAAACAGCUCAAUUGGGCUCGUCUCACAUCCAAGAGAUGUAGCCUGUAAUGAAAAAAAAUAAUUAACAAAUUAUUUAAUGAUAUAUUUCAUUUAAAUUAAUCUUAUUAUCCGUUUCGCAUAUGCAGCAAACAGAACGGAGCUGCUGGUGUGUGUUGUCACCGAGCCAUGAAUUGGCCGGUUCUGGUUGCCAGCACCAGACUGUGAGCGUUGUGUGAACCGCUCAGACAUCACGUGCUCAAGAUAUUGUAGCCAUAUAUCUGCCAGGAUGUAUAUCGGUUUGAAAUCCCUCCAAAUCGCCAUGUCGUUCCAGCCUUGGAGACCCUUAUAACUCGCGUUUUUUUUGCCUUUUUUUGUGCUUCAUAUAAAAAAUCAUGCAACCUACUUUCAUAGUGAGAAAUUAGAUUUUGAAACAUAAAUAUUUUUCUAAAAAAAUCUUGUAUUGUUUUCGAUGUUACCUAGUUGCCGCGUGAAUUUCCCACACCCUCCUCACAAUAGUGUCAUGCCCACUGUCCCAGUCAAAUUUGUCCGGUGUAUAAAUAAUUAAUUUUUUAAAAAAUAAUAAUUUAUUCACAAUUAUAUUAAUAAUUUAUUAGAAAUAAGUUGAAAAUUAGAAAUUAACACCAAUCUCAAAUCUAUCAAACCAUGCAUUGAUUUGAGGUAUCCAUUCAGGAUGUCUGGAUACCUGACUCCAUUGAAAUAAUAGAAUCUUCAUCGAUGAUUUAAAUGCCGAUGAUAUUACUCGGGCGGCCUCAAUGUUUGUGAACCUAAAAAUAAAUUAAAUUAAUGAAAUAUUGAUUAGUUGUUCAUAAAUAUGUUAUAAUUUAAAAAAAAAACUAAAAAUUUAACAAACUUACAUUGAAAGGUCGUCCUUCCACAAUGCCUCAUACUUGUGGGUGAAUUGAUUCCGCUGCGAAGGCACGCCGCCUCUGCGCUGUGAAACCGCGCUGGAAGAGGCAGCAUCGGUUGACGGCGCAGGUGCCUUUUCUUAACAGGCACCUAAGGAUAUCUCAUCCUCGCUGCUAGAAGAACUAGCUGCGACCAUACGUGAGCGACGAGCUAUGGAUUUCGUUCUAUGCAUCUACACAAUUUUAUACUAAUAAUUAUAUAAUUAAAUUCGAAUGUUAAAAAAAAAAAUUGAUAGCACCUCCCCUAUACUAGAGACUACCCAAACUUUUCAAACCUGUAAAUAUUGACAAUAGCCACAACCAAUUGACCCCAUCUAUACUAAUCUUGUAUAUAACAUAACAUCUAUACAAAUAACAUCCAUACUAAUUACAAGGUAAAUUCAACAAUAACAAUUAAAAUUCUACAAAUUAUUCAAUUAUUAUGGUAAUACAAACAAUAAAAUAUAUUCAAAAAAUUCAAAAAAAAAAACUAUAGACUAACACAAAUCAUGCAAUAAUAGAGUAAAAUUGAGAGAAUAAUUAAAUUUAUUCCAACAUAUUCAAUUACUAAUUGCAAGGUAAAUUCAACACUAACAAUUACAAUUCAACAAAUUAUUCAAUUAUUAUGGCAAUACAAACAAUAAAAUAUUGCCAAUAAAUUUUUUUAAAAAAAAACUAUAGACUUUAGGAAUGAAAUAUACUUACCUUAAUAAUGUGUUUAUUUCAAAACUUUAUCUACAUUAUAAAAAUACACCAAAACAAAAAACAUAACAAAACUAACAAUAGCUAAAACAAAGAAAAAAAAAUCCUUAAAGUAAAAUGAAGUAGAGGAAACACAUACCUUUUAAUUUUAUAAAGAUCCAAGUAGAGAUUACAAGCAAAACAAACAAAAGUCUUGAAGAAAAUGAGAGGAAAAAAAUAAAAAAUGAAAGGGGAAUAACGGAGCAGAUGAAAAAAUGAACUGAAGGGGCGGUUGCUGGGAUUUAUAGCGCAGUUGUACCGAUGGAUGCACCGACGGACAUUAAAAAAUAUUAUUUUAAAUUAUUAUAUCGGUGACUUUUGAAUUUCGCACCAUUAUUUUUUAAUUACCCUUCAUAUUUUUCGCAGUUCGUCGGUAAUUCCGUCGACAACAACACACGGUUAGAGAUGCAUUUAAUGCCCCGCCCUUGGGAAUUCACACUGUUCGUCGGUAAUUUUGUUGAUAAUUUUGACAUGUCGACAACAUACCGACAGACUGGAAUUCGUCCGUAAAAUUGUCGAUGAUGGUUGUGGCAUUUCCAGUACCGCUACUAUGAAAUGCCGAUGGACUGGAAUCCGUCCGUAUAGUGUGUAAGAAAGAUGAUGUUUGUAUUACCUAUUUACUUUCCUGCAAAAACUUAAAUGAUAAAUUGUCCAUCACACAAAACAAUAACAACAAUGCUUAAACAAUACAAACUUAUAAAAUAAAUAUUUCGUGUUACAAAAUAUAUCAUCCAUAAUAUAUAUUACAUGAAAAAAAUGUUUUACACAUGGCUUCAUUCUGAUUGUUAGUUAGAAUUUUCUUCUUCUUCGUCGUCAAUUGAAUAGUCAUCACCUUCAUCGCAAUCUUCAAUAUGGAUAUCAUCAUCUUCAUCGACCUUUGCUUGUCUGCUAGAGCUCAAAACAACAUUCAACUCCUCUGCAUCAACAUCAACAAGACUAUUAUCGAAAACAUGAAAUUUAAAUUUUCUUUCAAGUCAAUCGAAGGAGAAACUCGAUAUGGUUCAACCAACUCACUAACUUGAAAGACUUCAUCUCGCACACUUGUGUCUUUGUUCUCAUCCUGAACAACCUCGACACGACCCCUGGGUUUCCUUUUUAAAACGGAUAACCAAUCAACUCUUGAUCGAUCCUUUCUAAAGAAAGGGGUGUAUGUGUAAUAAACUUGUUGACAUUGCUUUGCGAAAACAAAGACAUCGUUUACGUUGCGGAGUCUAGCUUUUGAGUUGAUUUCGACCAAACCAUAGUGCAGAUCAACUCUGAUUCGUCUGUCAGUCGUGUCAUAUCAAUAGCAUUAGAAUAAAAACACUAUAUUCUACUCGCUAUGAUAUUGCAGUUUGACAACCUCUUCUAAUCUACCAUAGUAGUCAACUUCUAACUCACUACUAGUCGAUCCCUUAACACAAACACCGUUGUUGUAUGUCUUUCUUCCAUGCCCGUAUUGUUUAGUAUGAAACACAUAUCCAUUGAUAAAAUACCCGUUGUAGCACUUCACUUUUCUUUCAGGGCCCAGGCUUAGUGAAGACAAUGACUUAACAUCACUCCUUCCCAUUUGAUAAACCUUGUAUGUAAUGUACAUCAAUGAACAGUAAACGAGAAUCUCAUAAUGACAUGCAUACAAUAAUUUUGCAAGUGAUAAUGAGUUUGUGAUAGUACUUACAUGUGUUCUGAACCACGUGGAAAAUUAUUCAUCUUGUAAUUGAAAUAUCUGAGAUUCAGUCAACUAUGAGUUAUAGGACAACAAAUAUUGUCGAUGUUGCUUGCAAGUGAUAAUGAGUGUAUGAUAUCACAAUAUAUAAAUAGUAUAUUAUUAACAAAGUUUAAUUAGUAGUACACAUAUAUAUACUUACUGAAUAAAAGGUCUCAGCUCAUCACAGUUAAAUAGAACAUAAUUGUGUGCUUGUUUUAAAUUUAUUACCGACAAAUAUCUUCCUCUUACGACAUUUUUAGGUGUGGGUCAUCCAGGAUUGGAGAAUAUUGACAAGUUCCCACUAGAAGGCACUUCACCGCCAUCAUCAUACCGUGGAAUGCGAUUGAUUCUCGUUCUCAGAUGAGGUUUGAAAUAGUACGUGAUAAAUGUUAAAAUCUCCUCAAUAAUAUAGGCCUCACAUAUCGAAGCCUCAACAUGCGCCUUGUUCUUAACCUUUUUCUUGAGAUUGAAUAAGUACCUGCAUUGAAUUAAUCAAAUAUUUUCAAUUAAGAAAAACAAAGAAAAUACUUUUAUAUAUGAAUUACAUUGCAACUGUAAUAUCUAACCGUUUGAAUGGAUACAUGCAUCUAUACUGGACCGGUCCUCCAACUUUUGCCUCGAAUGAUAGAUGUAUGGGGAAAUGCUCCAUUGAGUCAAAAAAUGACGAAGGGAAUAUCAUCUCAAGUUUGCAUAGUAUCUCGACGAUAUUCGUUUCAAGCCUCUCAAUGUGAUCAACAUUCAACUUGCUGGAACAUAUAUCUCUAAAGAAAUGAUUGAUCUCCGUGAGUGCAUCCCUUAUCCCUUUUGGCAACAAAUCACGAAAAGCUAAUGGGAUGAGUGUUUGCAUAAACAUGUGGCAGUCAUGACUCUUCAUUCCAUACAAUCUGCAUUCCUCCGUAUUAACCAGCCUUGAUAUGUUCGAGGCAUGUCCAUCGAGAAAACGCAGACUCAUAAGUCAUUUGUAGACUAAUAGUUGUGCGUUUUUCUCUAACACAAAGCUUGCUUUUGGUUUUGCGACCCGUGACCCAUCUCAAACCAACUCCAUAUUUUUACGGUUAUAGAACAAAGUUAUAUCCAAUCUAGCCUUAAUGUUGUCCUUUGUCUUCCCCUUCAUAUCCAUGACGGUGUUGAAAAUGUUCUCAAACAUGUUCCUUUCAAUAUGCAUGACGUCAAGGUUAUGGCGAAGCAGAUUGGUCUUCCAAUAAGGAAGCUCCCAAAAGAUACUUCGCUUUACCCAAUUAUAGGUCAAACCAAAACCAUGAAACUUCUGCUUACCUAAUUGCAGACCAAACACAAUGUCACCGUACUCUGAUACAACAUCAUGCAAUUCUUCACCAAAAAGACGUGGAUAUGCAACAUCCUUUUCAACUCUGCCAACAAAGAAAUCUUUUUUGCUCUUUCUGUACCUAUGAUUCUAUGGCAAGAAACGACGAUGACAGUAAAAAAAAAAGCUUUACCUCUGUUUGUUAGCGUGAAUGCCUUGUUGUUUUCCAUGCAGUAUGGACAUGCUAGUUUUCCAUGCAUACUCCAACUAGAAAGCAUUCCAUAAGCUGGAAAAUCAUUAAUAGUCCACAUCAAAGUCGCCCUUAUAACAAAAUUUUGUUUCCUCGAUAAAUCAUAAGUCAAAGCUUUGGAGGAACUGCGCCAAUUCAUCAAUCAACGAUCGAAGACACAUCUAUAUUCCGGCCCGGGCUGCUUGGACCGGGUAUGACAGUAGAUAAAAACAUGAACUCCAACCUCAUACACAUUUUCGGUGGCAAGUUAUAAGGAGCAGCAAAUGACCCGAAUGGGCUGAAUCUGUUUGUACACAACCCAAGACACAUGUUCCUUGAUUCAGUUGAAAAGUGAGGAUGCACACUGUUAAAGUGUUUCCAUGCUUCGUCGUAAGAAGGAUGCAUCAUCACUCCAUCAACCAUAUCAUGUGAUUGGUGUCAUGUCAUGUGCUCAGUAGUCCUUGGUGACAUGAAUAACCUCUGCAGUCUAGGUGUGAUUGGGAAGUAUCUAAGUUUUUUAUAUGCCACUAGAGUCUUUCCCCUGCCAGUUCUGGGUUUGUAACGAGAAUGCCCAUAUGUCAUGCACUCGGUCAGCUCAGCAUUUCCAAGGUAGUAUAACAUGCAAAAGUUAUGGCACAUGUCAAUUUUCUGGUAUCCUAAACCGAGGGGUUUCAUCAUGGACUUCGCAGCAUAGAAGUUCUCUUUCAGCCUGUUCCCUUCAAGUAAAAUGCUUAUUGCCUAUUCAAUAAUUUUGUCAUACCUGACCUCACUCAACCCGUGAUCUGACUUUAUGGUGAACACCUGUGCUAUGACUGAUAAUUUACUGUGGUUCAUGCAGCCAUCCCAUAAUGGUUCGUUAGAAUCUUUCAACAAAUCAAAAAACCUAGCUGAAUCUACAUUAGGUUCUUCUUCUACGAUUGGACAUUAACUGACAUUACCUUGAUUCAUUCUCAUUGCAUCCAUAACCAUAUUCCUAUAAGGAUUAGUGUUGUCACUUGCCACUUCAUGCAUGUUGCUAGCAUUAGAAGUUGACCCAACCACCCUUUCUCCCAUGCUCUUAUUACGAACAAAUACUUCUCCCUUUGUGUAGAAGAUGCAUCAUUACAAUAUCUGGAUGUAAAUACUUUUUAUUUUGACACUUCCUGAAUGGACACCUAAUACCGCCUCUAGUAAAAUUUUUGGGAAUAGAUGUGAAAUUAAUAAAACCCUAAACCCCAUUACAAUAAUUCAUCCUCCGCAAUCCUUGGGGUGAAUCUCAAUACAUCCAUGACUUCAAUCGAACCUCUAUAAAAUUAUGAUGACAACAUAUAUUAAUUAACUAUGUUAGGUAAAUAAAUUUGCAAAAAUAUUGGUUUACCUCAAGAUUAUCCAACAAACUAAUUACAACUUCUCAUAAAUAUUAAAUAUUCAUUAUCAAUUAUCAACGUCCAUACAAAUUAAUACAUAUAAAUUUACGGAAAUUACAACUUCGCAAUACUAUUGAUAAAAAUUAAAACGGACUCGUUAAAUAAGCUAUUAAUUAUUUCAAAACAACACAUAUAAUUCGAUAAUUCAAUAAAGUUUCAACAAUUCCAAACAAAUACAAUUUUACAAAAUCUAAAACAAACCAUAACAAGUACGAAAUUAUACAUUCAUAUACUACAAGUUUGUUUGAGAAAUAACAAUAAAACAUGUACAUAUACUAACAAAAUACAUAUACUAAAAAAACAAUAAAAUUGACAUUUAAAUGUUAAAAUUUUAAAAGAUAGAAUUACUUACAAAAACUGAUAAAAUAUGUUGGUAAAUCAGAACACGGAUGUUGUGACCACAAAACUUAAAGAAAUAUGACUUGUUGUGCUGAGAAGAGGGAGAUUUUUUUUUAGGGGGGCUAGUUGUUUGCAGUAGGGGAGCGUUGGGAUGGGGAAGAAGAAAGAGAAAUAGGGGAGGAGAGGGUCGGCAGAGUGGUCAUAUAUUAACUUUUGUCGAUGGAAUCACCGAUGAACUACUUCUGUCGGUGAUUCCGUAGGCAAUUUUGAAGGUGAAUCAGUCUCGUCACUGUACGAAGAUUCCGGUUUGAAUCCCUUAGUGAUUCCGUCGGCAAUUCGAACAGUGAAUCGGUCACGUCACUGUAUGGAGCUGCCGGUGUAAAUCCCUCGGUGAUUCCAUAUAUAAAAUCACCUGCAAAAACAUCCACAUCAGCGAACCGUCUUUUUUUUUAAUUCUGAAUAUUUCGUCUGUAAUUCUGAAUAUAUAAAAUUAUAAAUAAUUAAAUAAAAAUAAACCUCAAGAAAUAUUUCAAGACAUCAAGGAUAAAAGACUAAUUUACUCCUGAUAAUGUAAGUUAGUUAUUCGUUUUUACUCAUGUUUUUUAUCAAAAUAAUUUUUAUUAGUAGCGUGUUUGUUUAAUUAAAACUAUAGGUAAUUGAAAUAAUUUUUCUCUCUUUUUUCUUUUCAGUAUCCUAGAGGCGGCUUGAAAUCCAUGCUCAUGUUUUUUCUUGUUUUUCUUCUCUUUGGUGAGUUUCAAUUUUUCUCUUCUAUUGUACUGUCGCAUAUGUGCGUUGUCGCGGUGAAAAAACAUUCACUCUCAAAAUUAUAUGUAUCUAUGUGGCAAAUAUAGGAAGACAAGGAAUUCUUAUCUUUUAUUAGUAGAAAAAUAGAAUGGGAAUCGCCACCUAAUAUUUUGGUCACUAGGAACCCUAACUGGUCUCAGAGAUCGAGUACGGACACUGGUUGCGUAAAAGAAAGGUAUUAGCACCCCAAAUACGCUCUGCCUAAGGUAAGCUGCAUUGUUUUAUUGUCUGAUAAAAUCUAAGCUCUUGUCGUGUUUUCUAGUUUCUGAUCUGUUUAUGGUUUAAGAAAAGUCCUCCUCGGUAAGGAGGUCCUUAUCUUAUCGGGUAAAAACCUAACCAUUCUAAAGUUAAAAAACUAUCUUUUUAAUAUCGAGACUACGCCUUAUAUAUAAGCGCGUUAUCCUUAAUAUUAAAAGAAAAAAAUAUUUGUUUUUGGAAUUUUUGAAAUAUUGGUCUAGUUCUCGUGACUUUAAUAAACGGGUUAUUAAAGUCAAAAUACAUGCUAAAACAUUUGUUUUUUUUCUUUUUUUUGAGAGACUUGGCCGUAUGAAAACAAAAUAUUUUUAAAAUUUUUUUAAUGUUUUGACGAAAACCACGUAUUUUAAUACCGGAUUUGUAUCUUUACAGUAUACAAAUACAAACCAAUAUAAAUCAAAAUGUCGUUAAACAUUUAUGCAGAAAAAUCACAAAUUUCAAAAAAAAAAUUAAUUUUUUUGUAUGGGCUGGACUCGGCCCAAGAGAAAACUAGACCGAGAUCUGGCCAAAAUGAAAUCGGGCCAGAACUGACCCAAAAGAGAACCUACUUGUGGUGGGACUCAACCCAGCCGCGUGGGGUGGGUUGAUGUUCCAGCCCAAAACAAAUCAAUGUAUUGGUUGCUGGUUACUCUGCUGAGCACAAUAACUAGUGAAUUAUAAUUAGGUGGUUACUGAAUUGCUCACGUUCUGCAUGCAAAUGAAGAAGAACAAAAAAUGGACAAAGGAGGAGGGAAGGUUACCUGCAAUGAGGGAGCGUGGUUGCUGUCUCUGGUGGCUUGUGGGGGCGGCGGCGGCGGCUGGGAACUCCAGUGAUUCUUCUUCCAAACGUGGUGGUUAUGCAGUGAGGACCUGCUGCGCCGGUCGAUGGUUCUUCUCCUCCUGAGAGUGUGAUUUAUUUUUUUUGCUUUGUCUCUACUCUUCUUGCUUCUCUCUUUCUCUUUUAUUUUCUUUUCUUUCGUUUCGUUCACUCUUUCUCUCUUCUCUGUUUUUGUUUCCCUCUUUCCCCUCUCCUUCUUCCCACCUCUGUUCUCCCCUGUUUCCUUCUCUCUAUCUCCCUAUCUCCUCUGUUCUUCUUUCGAUUUCUCUUCCCAAUACCCCUCUGUUUUGGUUUCUUUAUUUAUUCAUUCUCCCGUCAACUCCCCCCUGUUCUGUUGGUUUCCCCCUCCUCUCUGUCUCUGUCUCUAUCGUUUUGUUUUUCUUCUCCCCUGUUCUGCUCUGUCCCCCCUUCCUUUCCAAAACUUUCCCCGACACUCUCUCCUUCUCUUCCUUCUCUAAUCCUCCACUGUUCUCUCUUUCUCCUCUGUCUGUCCUUGUCUUUCCUCCUCCCCUUUCUUCAGUACAUCCUCUGGCCAGAGGAUGCAGGCGUUUUCAUUUGUUGUUGCAGGGACAGAGUAACGGCCGGCGUGCAUGGUGGCGAGUGAUAUCAGCCGUGAGACAUGCCUCCUUGAUUGAAGCAAAUCAGCGCCUUCGCUGCUGCAUCGUCUCUCGGCCAGCUGCACACAACGUCUUCUGAAGAAAACAGUGUUCAGUGAAACGGCACCGUUUUGCAACUUUAAAUGAUAUUUCUGAUUUGGUCCUUGGAUGUUUUUGCAAUUUUGUAAUCAAACCCCGGAUAAAUUAUAAUUGGAUCCCUUGAUAUUAGCACCUUUUCCGGUUUAGUUCUUGGUUUCGGAUUGUUUCAAUCAAGUCCCUAAAUGACCAUCAAUAUUCAAUAAUUAUGCAAUUGAGCUCCUUAUUUAACCAAAUCAACUCUUCAAAAUUAUAAUUGAACCCCACAACUUUAAUUGACUUAAAAAAUAAUUUUUCUUGCAAUCAAACCCUCCAUAAAUUCAAUUAAACAUUAGAUAAAAUUUAAUUGAGUCCAUAAACAUAUGAUUUUGGACUUUUUUUUUCCUCCAAUUGAAUUUUCCUUGUCAAUAGAGCUUUCAUUAGUUAAAAAUAUACUGUUAAAUUUUUUUUUUAUAUUUUUGAACCUCCUCAAUCAAUUUCUGGUCAUUUUAUGAGCAUUCAACAUCCUUUUCUCGCUUCUAUUAUUUCUUUGAAUUUUUUUUAAAUAUAUAUUUUUUGUAUUUUUUUUAAUAUUUUGUGUGGAAGCCCAAAAGGAGUAAUAACACAUAAGUUCAAUUAAAGGGCCCUAUCCCAUUGUUUCUUUAAAGACUUCAGUAGAUUUGUGACGCCUAGUUAAAGGUCGGAAGAAAUAACUUGCUUUCUCUAUUCAAUAAAAUAAAAUAAUAAUAAUAAUAAUAAUAAUAAAAACCUCUCUCAUUCUUAUCUGAUGAAGGAAAAGGACAAAAGAUAUGGGGUGGAAAAGAAAAGGUGAAAAGAGAACAAUAUAUAUAUUCUCCAUUUUAAAAUAUGUAUUUUUAUAUUUUGAAAUGCAAAUAUAAAAAUAUGGUGUUAUUAAUUUAUACUUUGCCUUUGAGCAUACAUAAUACAUUACAUUUCAUGGAAUCGUUACUUUAAUUAAAAACCCAGCAACAUCGUGAAGGAAAACAAAAGGCAAGAAGAAGACAAAUAAGACCCCGUUUGUUUGCUGGAAAGUAGUUUCCUUUUGAAAAGUGAAUUCCGGAAAAGUGAAUUCCGAGAAAAUGAAUUAUUUUUUUAUGUUUGAUAGUGUAAUUGAAAAUAAGUUGGAAAACACUUUCCAGUGUUUGGUUAUGUCAUGGAAAAUGAGCUGGAAAAUAACUUAUUAAUGUUUUAUUUUUCUCAAGUUUAUUAAAAUAAUGAGGAACAAAUCUUACAAAUUAAAAAGUUGAAUGAGAAUGAAAUUGAAAAAAAAUAUAAUUUCAUAAAUUAUCUCAAAUAAAAUAAAUAAUAAUCAAAAUAAUAGAGAUCAAAUCUAAAAAAUAAAAAAAAAUGAAAGAUGAAGAAAUCAAAAUAAUAAUAAUUAACAUUUCAUAAAUUAUUUUAAAUAAAAUAAGUAACAAUCAAAAGAAUGAGGACCAAUUUGAUAGAUAAAAAAUUUCAAUAAAAAAAUGAUAAGGAAAAAGCAAAUAACAAUUAUAAAAAUGAGGACCAAAGUUAAUAUAAAAAUUAAAUUUUAAGAGAUGAAAUUGAAAAAUAAAUAAUCAAAACAAAAUAUAUAUAGCAAUCAAAAGUUUGAGGACCAAAUUUGAUAUAAUCAGCAAAUAAUAUGACAUUUCUAAAUUUUUCACAACUUCCGGAAAGUGUUUUCCGCCCAAAUUUUCAAGGAAAACACUUUCCUGGAAACCAAGCCAAAUUUUCUUUUGAUUGGAAAGUGUUUUCCGUUGACCAACUUUUCUAAUGGCAAACAAACACAUGAAAGUUUGGAAAAUGGUUUUCCGGAAAGUGAAUUCCGGGAAACAAACAUAGCCUAAGAGUGCAAGACCCCGAAAGGUACCUCCUACCUCGUGAAUGAUCUUAUGAGAAAUUGGUAAAUGUCUCCCUUUUUCACACUUGGGUCAUUGAGAAAAGUGUGUGGCCCAGCCACCGUGCAAUAUCCACUGACGCCACGUUUGAUUGUAGGUGGGUUUGCUUAAUGCGGCGGUGGACGAGGAGUGUUUCGAUUGAAAAAGAGGAGGGUUUUCCUUCUAUUUUUAAGAGAGAAAAAAAGAGCCAACUUUCUACACCUCUUAUCAAGGAAACUAAUGAAUUCAAAUCACUGCCAAUUCAAGCGUAGCUGUCACACGAGAAAUGCCAGAUUUUGUGCUUUCCAUAACUAUAGGAUCAGUCUGUUAUUCCUGCAAAUAUUACUAUUGAUUCUGAUUGUAAAUAUUCGUCCCUUACACACAUUCGAAUCUCUGAAAUUAAGCUCUCAGGGUUGUAUAAAGAUUACAAGAAAUGAAUGGAAAAUGUGUGAGUUGUAUUACAAUAAUAUUGCAGUGUAAGUUGCUUUAUGGUAUUAGAGCCUGAAAAUCUCUAAAGAGUAUUCAUCCUUCUUACUUCCUUCUUUCUGCUUCCUGCAAAAUGACCACCAUCUAUGCAUCUACCACCAACUCACCAAACUCACCCAUCAUCACAAUCAAUGCUGCCACAACCAUCAACGAAAAACUCAUCCCCUCUACUUUUCCUCAGUGGAGGGCUCAAUUUGAAGCCUUACUCAUUGGCUAUGACUUUAUUGAUUUUGUAACGGGUAUACACCAAUGCCCUGCCAUUGAUACACUGAAUUCCACUGCCUCUAAAGCUACGAAUUCCCACUGGAUUCGCCAAGACAAGCUCAUCUUACAUGCCAUCCUCACCUCCACCUCCACCACCAUUACCCCUCUUCUUGCUGCCUAUAAAACAUCCCAUGAGGCUUGGAUAGCACUUACCCGUUUAUAUACGGGGAAAUCAAAAACGCGUGUGAUGCAGCUCAAAGAAGAUUUGACCCUGAGCAAUCGUGGGUCUCGCACAGUUACUGAAUUCCUUCAAGGAAGCAAAGUGAUUGCUGAUGAACUAGCAAUCAUUGAUCAUCUAGUUUCAGAUGAUGAUUUAACUCUAUACAUACACAAUGGAUUGGGUAUUGAAUUCAGAGAAAUUGCAGCUCCCAUUCGUGCCCGCGAGACUUCUCUGAAAUUUGAAGAAAUUCAUGACCUUCUUGUCAAUCAUGAGAGUUAUCUUCGGCGGCUUGAGCACCAAUCUGCAACCCAGUUUGUACCCACUACUAAUUACUCUAGUCGAUGGAGCCCUCAGUUUUCUUCUUAUUCCAGAUAGCCUAAAUGGUGCCCCCCAGUUGCUUCUCAUAACUCUCGUGGACACAGUAGGCCUCACAGAAAUGGGUCAUUCAAUUCGGGUCACAGGAGGUUUAAACUGAAAUGUCAAUGGUGUGAUCAACUGGGUCAUACAGCAAAACAAUGUCCCAAAAUGUCUACUUCUGAUUUCACUGCAAAUUGUGCAGCUUGCUCUCAACAAAAAAAUCACAAGUGGUUAGUUGACUUAGCAGCAUCUCACAAUAUGACCACUGAUCUCUCUAAUCUGAUGAUUAAUUCUGAAUAUGAUGGUACUGAUGAGGUGGUAAUUGGUGAUGGAUCAGGUUUGCCCGUGUCUCAUAUUGGGUCCUUGUCUCUUAAAUCGUCCAAUCAUGUCUUUCAUUUACGUGACACUCUUUGUGUUCCAACCAUUCAUAAAAAUCUCAUUUAUGUUCACCAUUUUACCAAGCAUAACAAUGUUUAUAUUGAAUUUCAUCCUACUUAUUUUUUGGUAAAGGAUCGGAUCACGGGGGCGAUACUACUCAAAGUCGAUUGUGAAGAUGGAGUGUACCCAUUUCCGGAGCAUCUACCAUCCACCAAGAAAAAUAUUGUUGCCUAUGUUCAUGAACGUACUACACCUGAUGGAUGGCACAAACAUCUUGGUCAUCCAUCGUCCAAAUUGGUUCAUCAUCUCAUUCAUGCUUUUUCUUUACCUACCAAUAAAAUGGUCAUUCCUCUCUGUGCACUUCAUGCUCUCAAAAUAAAGCUCAUUGUCAAACAUUUAGUACUCAUGGACUUACCAGCACUACUCCAAUUAAAUUGAUUUACACGGAUGUUUAGGGCACAUCUCAUGAUCUUGCAAUUAAUGGCUUAAAAUAUUAUAUUAUUUUUGUUGAUCAUUAUACCAAAUAUAUUUAGCUUUAUCCCAUGACUCAUAAAUCAAAUGUUCAAACCAUUUUUCCAUAAUUUCGUAAUCUUGUGGAAAAUCGAUUCAACAUAAAAAUUAAAAGUCUUUAUUCUGAUAAUGGUGGGGAAUAUAUUGGCCUCAAAAUUUAUCUUUCUGUCCAUGACAUUAGUCACUACACUACUGCUCCCCACACUCCCCAACAAAAUGGUAUGUCUGAAAGGCGACAUUGCCACCUUGUUGAAACUGGUCUUACCUUACUCACCGAUGCUCAUAUGCCUCUCUCUUAUUGGCCCUAUGCAUUUCAAAUUGCUGCCUAUCUUAUCAAUCGCAUGCCCACCGUUACCUUGAAUAAUCAAUCUCUGUUUGAAAAAUUAUUCAACCAAAGGCCCAACUAUCUCAAGCUCAAACAGUUUGGUUGUCUCUGUUAUCCGUUAACUCGGCCAUAUAAUAAAUAUAAACUUAAGCUGAAAUCUAAACCAUGCACAUUCAUGGGUUACAGCCUAUCCCAAAAUGCAUAUUUAUGUUUUGAGCCAUUAACCAAAAAAAAUCAUCACCUCUUGACACGUAAGUUUUCAUGAAGGGUCCUUUCCUUUUCAUCAACCAGAUCAUAACAGUUCCCAUCCUUCUCCAUCUGUUGAGCAACAUUCAUCUGUGAUGAUCUUGUUACCAAAGCUUUCUUUUGCUAGUCCCAGCACUUCUCCGGAUGUGGGUACUGAAGUCUUGCCAUCAUCUGAGCAUGGGUCACCCUCUGCACCGUCUCCUCUCCAGAUAAGUACUCCCUCUUCUCCCUUGCUUUUAAAUCCAAAUACUUCAAUAUAAUUGUUUGCCCCUACUAUCUCUGAAAACACUGAGGUGCCAGUCCACCGCAUGACUACUAGGUCCAUGAAAGACAUCCAUAAACCAAAAAAAUCCUUCCUUGUUACCAAACAUCCUGUCCCAUCAUCCUUGGAACCCUCGAGUGUUACUGCAGCACUCACUGAUUCCAGAUGGCGUAAAGCCAUGUCCUCAGAAUUAACUGCUUUAAUGUGUCACAAUACCUGGCAAUUAGUACCCCCUCCAACUGAUUGUAAUAUUGUUGGCUGUAAAUGGGUGUUUCGGGUUAAAAGGCAUGCUAAUGGAUCUGUUGAUCAGUUCAAAGCCAGGCUAGUGGCCAAAGGGUUCAAUCAGCGACCAGGACUGAAUUACAAAGAGACAUUCAGUCUUGUUGUUAAAUUAGUCACCAUACAAACUGUCUUAGCUAUUGCUGUGAUGCAGGGUUGGUCUUUGAGGCAAUUGGAUGUUAAUAAUGCAUUCCUUCAUGGGCAUCUCACUGAAAAAGUGUAUAUGAAGCAACCUUCUGGUUUCAGGAAUCCGGAACAUCCUGAUUAUGUUUGUUGUCUUACCAAGGCCAUCUAUGGCCUAAAACAAGCACCUCGUGCUUGGUACUCUGCACUUAAACAUGCACUAACAGAGUUUGGUUUCAUUAAUUCUAAAUCUGACUCAUCUCUAUUUGUGUUUCAUACUAGUUCUACUAUUGCCUACUGCCUAGUGUAUGUUGAUGAUUUGAUUAUUACAGGCAAUAAUUCAGUUUUUGUUGCAAGCAUCAUUGAUCAUCUUGGCCAGAAAUUUUCCAUCAAAGACUUGGGGUCACUGCAUUUUUUUCUUGGUGUUGAGGUCAUUCCUACUACAGCCGGCUUGUUUCUCACUCAGCACAAGUAUAUCAGAGAUUUACUUGCCAAGACUAGUGUGGACGGUGCUAGGGAUGUCACCACACCUCUCUCAACAUCUGUUUCCUUACAACUGGAUGAUGGUUCCUUCUCUGUUGAUUCCACCGAAUAUUGUCAAGAUAUUGGCGCUUUGCAAUACAUGUCCCUCACACGACCUGAUAUCAACUUUGCUGUCAAUAAACUCUCCCAGUUUAUGCAUUUUUCAUGGUGUUACUAUCAGCAAAACAUCCAACACCAUAUUGACUUGUUUCUCGAAUGCUGAUUGGGCUGAUAGUCUGGACGACAGGAAAUCCACUUCAGCCUACCUACUAUUCCUUGGUAACACACCAAUUUCCUGGAGUUCUAAAAAGCAACGUGUAAUUGCACGAUCAUUAACUAUAGCCGAGUAUAGGGCUUUGGCAAUGGCUGCAACAGAGUCCGUGUGGCUACUAUCCUUGCUCCAAGAACUGAAGUUUAGUCUAUCACAGCCACCACUCCUCUUAUGUGAUAAUAUGGGUGCAACACAAGUGAGUUUUAAUCCUGUCCAACAUUCUCGGAUGAAAUAUAUACAGAUUGAUAUUCGCUUUGUGCGAGAUUUGGUUGCGAAAAAUAUUCUUGUUGUUCAACAUGUCCACACAACUGACCAGCUAGCUGAUCUGCUCACCAAGCCUCUCUUCAGGCAAUGAACAGAUUUCCUAUGUGACAAGAUCGGCCUAUCUGAUGGUAGCCCGUUCUUGCGAGGGCGUAUCAAAGAAACUGAUGAAUUCAAAUCAUUGCCAAUUCAAAUGUAGUUGUCCCCAUGAGAAAUGCCAGAUUUCAGGGCUGUAUAAAGAUUACAAGAAAUGAAUGGAAAAUGUGUGAGUUGUAUUACAAUAAUAUUGCAAUGUAAGUUGCUUUACCUCUCGCCUAUACUACAACAUGAUAUACAAUAUAAUUAGUACAAAAACACAAGGCAGUACUUGAUGCAAAUCAGGGAAAAGGACUCCCCAUAGUUUCGUGAUCAAAGCCUCCAUCAACAUGGGAGCUGCUGCAAUCUUGUUUCUUUUCUGUUAUUACUUUUUCUAGUUUAUUACUUUCCUAGUUGGAUUUGGAAAUCUAUUCUGUUAUUGUUUUCCUAGUGUAUUAUUUUCCUAGUUGGAACUGGAGACUGUAUUAGUAUUUAAGGGAGGAUGAAAAUAAUAUGAAGGACCAUUAUUUUUUGCCAUCCUAUGACUCUGAGUUGAGUUUUCCUUGGAGUGAUUCCAACACACAGAGAGAUUUUAUGCUAGUCCCUGUUCUUGGUAUUCAGCAUGAAGCUGCUCCAAGAAAACGUUGACACCAAUUUGGUAUAAGAGCUUCAGUGUGGUUACCCGGUUCCAUUCAUUGCGGUGUUUUACGUCCAUGCUUGUAACCCGCAGUGGUACUUCGUACGCCAUGGUAACCAACCAAAUCCCGAACAACCCAAAUCCAACCAACCAAAACCCAAACAACUCAAACCCAACCAACUAACACCCGAAUAACACAAACAACCCAAACUCAAGCCAUCAAAACCCAAACACCCGAGACACAGACCAGUCUCAACUGCAAUAUCAGGUUGAUCAGAUCGCCAUAGUGAUGGAGCAACUUAUUCAUCGACUAGAUGUCAUGGAGGAGCGUUGUGCUCGAGAGGAGUAUGGUCCCUUUAAUUGGUGAGGGCGCAGAGCAGUUCAUAGAGAGAGGUUGGGCGAUAGUGAUGGAGAUGUUUAUGAGGAAGAAGAAGGAAAUUAGGAGUUUGAGGGUCAUGAACCUCAAGUUCGAUGUCAUAGGUGAAACAUGCACAAAGGACAUGAGGAUCAUGGUGCAGGUUAUCAACCUCUUGAUGAAUUGACCAAAAGAAUGAAGGUUGAUGUUCCAGAUUUUUUUGGAAAACUAGAACCCAAUGCUUUUGAAGACUGGUUAACAGCUAUCGAGGAUUACUUCGAUUGGUUUGUUGUUUCAAAGGAUAGGAAGGUUCGUUACGUUCGGAUGAAAUUAAAGAGCCAUGCAUGAGCAUGGUAGGGGAGUGUGGAAGAAUAAUUGUGCCAAACAUGAAAACCAGGAAUUUCUAAUUAGGAAGAGAUGACAGAGAGACUAAAAGAAAAAUAUUUGCCCAUUGACUAUGAGCAAAUGAUGUUCAAGGAGAUGUUGCAACUCAGACAAGGUUCAUUAAGUGUUGAUCAAUUUACAGAUCGCUUCCACGAAUUGACUGUACGUAGUAAGGUUAUGGAAACUGAACAACAAACUUUAGCCCGAUACCGCACUGGAUUAUGCAGCGACCUGCAUAAAGAAAUGUGGACUGCAUGCUUAAUCAACGUGGAAGAGGCGUAUCAAUUGUCACUCCAUUUUGAGAAACAAAUAGGGCCUUCUAUUGGGAGAAAAAUGACGUCGUGGGAUUCAAAAUCAGAACUUGUCCCAGCUUCUUCAACCCAAAGGCUCCCAUCACUGAGGGAUCAAACUAGAAGUGGGGUCAUUAGAGAUUAUAAAGGAAAAGCCAAAGCCUCUAAUGAAGAACCACAAUGUUACAAGUGUAAAGGCUUCGAACACUAUGUUGUUGUAUGCCCUACAAGGGAUAAAAAGUUAGCAUUUAUUUGUCAAAAAGAAUUGUUAAUAAAGGACACUGUUGAAGACAUGGAGGAGGAAGAAAUUGAUGGGAGUAGACAUAGUGACGAAGAACACUUGAGUGCAUCAAAAUUACCUAGCUGUGUUAUCCAUCGAAUAUUGACAGGAACUAGAAAGGAGCUUCAGGCUAAUCCCAAAUGGUUACGCACCAAUAUUUUUCACACUCGUAUGGAGCAUAAUGGUCGGGCUUUGAAUGUCAUUAUUGAUAAUGGCAGCAGCAUGAACAUGAUCUCCGAAGCUGCCAUUGAAUGUUUGGGGCUGAAGACUGAGAAGCACCCCACCCCUUACCGGAUUAGCUGGGUUAAUGAGGCCAAUUCAGUCCUAAUGAAGCAGCGUUGCUUGGUUAAAUUUUCAUUGGGAAAAAAAUAUGUUGACGAAGCUUGAUGUGAUGUAAUUCCUAUGACUGUGUGCCAUAUGCUACUGGGACGUCUGUGGCUCUAUGACCGGAGAGUUCUCUAUGAUGGGUAUGCUAAUACUUACUCUUUUAAUUUCCAAGGUAAGAAAUUUGUAUUGGAUCCCCUACAGAUUUCAAAAUUUGAUACAAAAAAUGAGGUUGUCCCAGUUUUAACAAUGUGAAAAUUCUCUCGAAUUGUACAAGCGGAAGAUAUGGUGCUAUUAGUAGUGAGCCGUGAGGUGAAGCAGGAGGACGACAUUAUUCCAACAGAGUUCUCGACAAUGUUGGAAGAAUUUUAGGAUAUCAUGCCUGAUGAGAUUCCAAAUCAACUACCUCUAAUGAGGGAGGUACAACAUGCCAUUGAUCUGAUUUCGGGAUCAACCCUGCCUAAUUUACCACACUAUCGUAUGAGCCCAACGGAGAAUGAAGAGCUUAGUCGUCAAAUUCAACAAUUACUGGACAAGGGUUUCAUUCGAGAGAGUCUCAGGCCCUGCACUGUCCCGAUUUUACUUACACCAAAGAAGGACGAUAGUUAGAGGAUAUGCAUCGAUAGUCGAGCAAUUAAUAAGAUAAAUGUGAAGUACCAAUUUCCCAUUCCUUGUCUUGAUGAUAUGUUGGAUUCACUAUAUGGCUCCUUUAUUUUCACUAAGAUCGACCUUCGAAGUGGUUAUCACUAGAUUCGUAUCCAGGUGGGUGACCAGUGGAAGACAGCAUUCAAGACAAAAGAUGGUCUAUUUGAGUGGCUAGUCAUGCCAUUCAAACUAACCAACGCACCAAGCACCUUCAUGCGCGUAAUGACGCAAGUUCUCAAACUAUUUUUAGGCAAAUUUGCUGUUGUUUAUUUAGAUGACAUCUUAAUUUUUAGCCGAAGUGUGCAGGAGCAUUUAAGCCAUGUCGAACAGGUUCUGAAGGUCCUAAGAGCUGAACAGCUCUAUAUUAAUAAAGACAAGUGUUCGUUUAUGAGGAAAAGUGCCAAGUUUCUAGGUUUUAUAAUCUCUAAUCAAGGUGUCGAGGCUAACCCUGCAAAGGUGCAAGCUGUACAGCAAUGGCCAACUCCCCAGAAUAUAUCUGAAGUCCGGAGCUUUCACGGCUUGGCCACAUUUUAUCGGCGAUUUAUUCGCAAUUUCAGCGCAAUCAUGGCCCCAAUCACCAAGUGCCUGAAAGAAAAGAAAUUUGCAUGGAGUACGGCAGCUGCCAAAGCAUUCACAGAAAUUAAAAAAAAAAGAUAGGGCAAGCACCAAUGCUCAAGUUACCAGAUUUCUCCAAAAUUUUUGAAGUAGCUUGUGACGCGUCACAUGUGGGAAUCGGGGGGGCGCUGAGUCAGGAGGGCCAUCCCAUUGCUUUUUAUAGUGAGAAGCUUAAUGACACUCGCCAGUGAUACUCGGUAUAUGACAUGGAAUUCUAUGCUUUAAUUCAAACACUCAAGCAUUAGCGCCUUUAUUUGAUCCACAGAGAGUUUAUCCUCUUUACAGACCAUGACUCCCUGAAACACUUAAAUUCCCAAAAUAAAAUUAAUGCACGACAUGCUCGUUGGAUGGAUUAUCUACAGCAGUUUGAAUUCGUUAUUAGACAUAAGUCAGGGACGGAAAAUAAGGUGGCCGACGCCUUAAGCAGGAUACCACACUUAUUGCAUAUGUUUUCAGCUAAUGUUGCAGGUUUCGACAGUAUGAAAACAGAAUAUACCAACGACGAGGACUUUGGUAGUGUAUGGAAUAAUAUCUCUAAACAAGGGCAUAUAGCUGAGAAGGAGUAUGUGUCGCGAGAUGGAUUCCUAUUCUUCAAAUCACAGCUAUGCGUUCCGCGUGGCUCCUUUCGGGAAUUUCUGAUAACAAAGCUCCAUGGCGGGGGUUUAGCUGGCCACUUCGGUCAUGAUAAAACUUUUGCUAUUGUUGCUGACCGAUUCUACUAGCCUCGAAUGCGGAGGGACGUGCAUCCCGUGGUUGAUCGGUGUCGAGUUUGCCAAUUAAAUAAAGGCACUAAGCAACCCGCAGGGCUCUAUACGCCACUUCCCAUCCUAGACAGACCCUGGUAGCAUCUUAGCAUGGAUUUUGUCCUUGGGUUGCCAAGAACUUUGCAGCAACAUGAUUCGAUUAUAGUGGUAGUUGACCAUUUUUCCAAAAUGGCCCAUUUUCUCCCAUGCCACAAGACUUACGAUGCAUCAAAAGUUGCUGCCUUAUUUCUGUAAGAGGUCAUUCGUCUGCAUGGUAUCCCAGUUUCGAUCAUGUCUGACAGGGAUGUUAAGUUUGUAAGUUUUUUUUGAAAAACAUUGUGGGCAAAACUGGGAACAUAUUUGAUGUUCUCCAGUGCCUUCCAUCCCAAAACGGACGGCCAAACUGAGGUCACCAAUAGAAGUUUGGGAAAUUUAUUACGUUGCCUAGUCGCGGAUCAUGUGACUAGCUGGGAUAUAGUGCUUCCGCACGCCAAAUUUACCUUUAACAACUCUGUUAACCGUUCGACAGGCUGCACCCCAUUUGAAGUGGUUUAUGGCUUUCGACCCAACACUCCACUUGAUAUUAUUUCAUUACCAUCACCACCUCGGCCAAGCGAGGCUGCGCUGGAUUUCUCCAACUAUAUGCGAGAUUUUCACGAGGAAUGCAAACAGCGCCCGACCACCCAUACAAGUUCUUAUGCAGCUGUGGCAAAUGCAAAACGCAAGGAUCAACAAUUUAAGAUAGGUGAUAUGGUUCUAGUUCGUUUGCGUCCAGAGCGUUUUCCUCCGUAGAGUUUUACUAAGCUACAUGCACGUAGAGCAGGCCCUUUCCAAGUCACCAAGAAAUUGGAUUCUAAUGCCUACGUCAUUGAUUUACCCACUGAUUUUGGUAUUAGUCCUAUUUUUAACAUUGAAGAUCUUACGGAGUUCAAGGGCAAUGUCAAAAACAUUACUGCACUACCAGUUCCAGCCAUAACACUAGUACCACGAGUUCCAGAAAUUACAGCACCACGAGAUGAGAUUGUUGCCAUUCAUGACCAUCAAUUUGUUACCACUCUCGAGGAGGUUAUUAUAGGUUCUUAGUGCAAUGGAAAAAUCGUCCAGGUUCAGACUCUGUCUGGUUGCAAGCUUCAGAGAUCAAGUGUUUACACCCACACCUAUUUACAACAUACACCAGUCAAAACUUGCCAGAGUCAAGUUCUUCAGGGGGAGUGGUAGUUGAUGCAAAUCAGGGAAAAGGACUUCCCAUAGUUUUGUGAUCAAAGCCUCCAUCAACAUGGGAGCCGCUGCAAUCUUGUUUCUUUUCUGUUAUUACUUUUUCUAGUUUAUUACUUUCCUAGUUGGAUUUAGAAAUUUAUUCUGUUAUUGUUUUCCUAGUUUAUUAUUUUCCUAGUUGGAACUAGAGACUGUAUUAGUAUUCAAGGGAGGAUGAAAAUAAUAUGAAAGACUAUUACUUUUUGCCAUCCUACGACUCUGAGUUGAGUUUUUCUUGGAGUGAUUCCAACACACAGGGAGAUUAUGUGCUAGUCCCUGUUCUUGGUAUUCAGUGUGAAGCUACUCCAAGAAAACGUUGACACCAGUACUAUAUCAGAGGUUUUUUGUUUUUUUUUCUGUUUCUUUCAAAAGUGAACUAUAUGUCUUAUUCCCAAAAUAAUCUGCUUUUUUCUUUUCAUAAAAUCGUUUUUGAAAAGGCAACGUAGUUUUAUUUCUAUUUCCAUAGAGCAAAUAUUACUAAAAAAAGGUUAAAAUUCAAUCACUUGUGUUUGUGAAAAUCAAAUAUAUACCUAGAUACAUAACAUAAAUCAUUAAAACUAGGUGUGAUUAUUUUUAAUUUGUUCCUUUUGGGGUAAAAAAACAAUCAAACCAUAAAUUUUUAUUUUAGAUUUCAUAAUCAACCGAACUGAAAAUCAGUUUAAAUUAUAAACCUCUAGGAAUUUAAAAAUAAAAUAAAUAAAAAUUAAAAUAAUUUUAAAUAUGUUAUCAAUAGGUGAGGAAAAGAAAUAAUGGUAUGAAAAGUGUUCAUGUAAACCUGGUUGAAAUCAAUAAUAUUACCAUGAAAUGAUAUUAAAUAUGUAAAUGAACUAAAUGAUAAAAAGACAAAAUAAAUAUAUUUUAUAAUAAGAAAAUGAUCCUGAGAAUUUAUUGUGAUAACCGAUACGAUCCAUGUAAAGAUGACACAAGAAAAUUCGGAUUUUGGUGUAAAAUCACCUACCAACUAGUUUUAUACUAUCAAGUAUAAUUCUCAAUACAAUCAUCUGAUCAUGUUGAAAUCUUACAAGGAGUCUUCUAAUAUAGUUUUCUAUAUUAGGUUAAAAUUUUAGAGUAAUCGGAAUAUAAAAAGAUUAUACAAGAAUGUCGACAAUUGGAUAAAAAAUAAAAUAUGUGCUUAAUUGUUAAGAUCUAUUAUUAAAAAGAACUUGAAAAUUUUGGAAGAUUACCUGCUAUGUGCUACUGAAUUUUAUUUUUUAGAUUUCAUAAUCAGACCAAACUAAAAAUUAAUCUAAAUUGUAAAUUUAUAAAAAUUUAAAAAUAAAAUAAAUAGCAAAUAAAUAAAAAUAAAAAUGAGUUUAAAUAUAUGGUCAAUAGGUUAGAAAAAAAAAAGAAUGGUAUGAAAAAGUAUUGAUAUAAACCACCUUGCAUUACCUAAUUUACAGAAGUUAUGGGCGCACACCUUAUUAGUAUGACACUACACAACCAUUUACUAGUAUUACACUGCUCACACCUAAUUCCUUAUUGUAGAAUUUAUAGGCACAUUUUCUUUAUUAAUAUGACGCGAUAGACACCCACUUCUUUGUUGUAGAGCAUUUACAUGUCUCAUCAAUGACUUGUACGAUGCUAUAAUGUCUCACGAAUUAAUAGCACAGCAACCAACAACCAACAGCUCAUUUUUUCUAUAAUUACUCAUGUACAAUAUAUCUACAAUCUUACUCUUUAUGAGAUAAUUUUAUAUGUAAUUAAUAUUUUUUAUUUUAAAUUAAAUAAAAUUGAGGACUUGAUUAAAUCAAAUAAAUUAAUUUUUAUUUUAAUUAAAAAUUAAAAAAAUAAACAACAACAAUAGAUAGACUAAAUUAACAAAAACAAAAAAAACAUGAUCACAAUAACUUAAAAAAAUAUUUUUAAAAAAAUAAAGCAAAUAAUAAAAUUUAAUUAUCAACUUAUUAAAUAUAAAAAGAUAAAAUUUGAUAAAAAAAAAAAGACAAAAAAAUUCAUUUCAAUUCAACCCAAGUUAUCAUAGCAAACCUAUAACCAGGGUGAACUCGCUAAAUUCGCACCCUCGGUUAUGAAAUCAAAAUAACCUGAUAUAAAAAAUAAAAAAAUCACAAAUCUCAUUUUUGUUUUGAAAAAAAUUCAAUGUUGAAUGAUAAAAGUUACAAAGAAAAUACAUAAUAAAAAAAACUAUGUGAACCUGAGUUAACUUUUCAAAGCCGUGAACUGGAUCAUUAAACUGAAAGCAACCUAUAUAAUUUAUCUUUAUGAUAUUUUUAGUUGUAUUGUGAGCUACAUUCCAAUAGUCUAGAUCUCAGAUUGACCAAGUCUUGUCUAAUCUAGCAAACACAAAAUAAAACAAAUUAUCUAGUAUAAUCCAAAACACAUCAAAUAUAAAACAAGAUAAUUAUUUAUGCCACGCGUGCUCCUUCAUUUGACCACACAACACCAUCCCCGCUGCCACAUGCCAAUUCACCUCGGUCUGCUACGAACAUGAUGAACACAACUUCUCCUCAGCAACAAGUUCAACAGCAGCAACAGCAAAGGGAAAAGAUGAUGCAGUUACCUCAGCAUCAGAUACUUGCUCAGCAACAGCAAAGGCAAAAGAUGAUGCAAUUCUAUUUCUUUUUGUUUUGUGUGUAUGAAACCAUAACAUUUAUGGCGUUUUUCAAAUGCAGACACAACCGUUGAAUUUUUAAAUUUUAAUGAGGAAAUCAUGUCCCAAAGUUUAGAAGAUUCAUGUUCUUAUACCCUUUGAAAUCUGCCCCUGCAUGUGUCUCUAUGUACGUAUGUCUAAGAAUCAUUAUUGGGUAAAAGAUCAUCUUUAGUUUUGGGUUGAAUCAAAAUGAAUCCUUGCAUUUUUGUAGCUUUUCUGAAACUUUGAGGAGGCAACAAAAUACUUUAAAUUGAACUGAACUUUCUGUUUCACUGCCUAGAACUACUAUAUAUACUUUAAUUUUAACUGUGAAAAGAAUAAGUUAUCCAUGAAAGACGACAAAUGAACCUAGAGAAAAGAUUAUUUUAUCCAUGAAAGACAACUUUUUGUAUUUUUUUUUUUGAAGGGCAAAGACUUUAAUGUGCUAUUAUAAUCCAAGGUAAUUAAAGUUCUGUUAAUAAUAGCACCUGAAUGGAAGAUCCAUCUUGUUUAAAAUCUAAGUUAUUGAUAAAUAGGUUAACUCGAAUUAAUUUAAAUUCACUAGAUCAAAAAUCCAGGUUAUUGGUCGAGUAAGUUAACCUUAUUUAAUCUUAAUAUAUUUUUUAAAAUUAAAAUAUCUUCAUAUUAGACUUUUUUAAAUGAAAAGUAAACUUGAAAUGACAUGAUUUUAAAGAAAAAAACUAAUUUUUUCACUUAAACUAUCUCAAAUUAGAUUUUAGAUCAAUGAAUCACCAAGUUAACUCGAGAUUUAAUAUAAUUAAGCCUAGGUGGACAAAGAUCACUAGGCCCUAUUAAUAAAGAAAAAAUAAAAAACAAAAGUUGUGGGAUGAAAAAGAAAAGGAAAGGAAAAUAUAUCAUAGCAUAUCUUCUCCAUUAAAUUUAUAAUCAUCAUUUUUUUACUCAUGUUUUUAAAUAAAAUAUUUUUUAUUAGUAAGAUAUUUUUUAAUUAAAAAUAAAGGUAAUUAAAAUAAGUUCUUGUAAGAGUUUGAAUGAUUUAAAAUAAGCAGGAAAAACUAUAUUUAUUAAAUCUAAACUAUAUUGAUUUAUUAUUGAAUUUUAUUUAAGAAAAAUAAAUUAUUUUGUUAUAAGUAUUGUUUCUUAAAUUAAAACAAAACUAAUCACAAUCUUAAAAGAAAGUUUUUAAAAAAUAAAAUUUGAAAAUUAUAUCUUAAAAAAUAAGAAAAAGAUUAAUCUAAUUUUUUUUUAAUUUAUAAUAAAGAAUUGCAAAGUAGAAAUCUUAUAUUUAUUGAAUAUUUAUAAUCACAAAUUUAAAAAUAAUUGAUCCAGAGAUGAACGUGGGGGGGGGGGGGGGGGGGCUUUUCUACUUGAAAAUGUUCAUGCUUUUUCUUGUUUUUUUCUCAUUGGCGAGCUUCAUUAUUUUCUCUUCUAUCAUAGGUUCAAUUAUUGGACCGUAUCCCACUGUUUUCUUUAAAGACAUUAGUAGACAUACCAUCAAUGUUUGUUUGUUUUUUUUACAUGCUUUCUCUAUUCAAUAAAAUAAUAAUUAAAAGUACCUCUCCUUUUAAUCUUAUCCGACGAAGGAAAGGAAGAGGACAAAAGAUGUGGGGUGCAAAAGAAAAGGAGAACAGAGAAGAAUAUCAUAUAUAUAUAUAUAUAGGAGUCAAAAAGAAUAGUAAAAGGAAAACAAAGAGAGGAAGUAUUAACCUUUCCAAAUGCUAAUAUUGACACUAAGGAAAUAUAUAUAUAUAGAACAAAAAUAAAACGUUGCACAUCAAAUGUUUUUAAGAAAUUAAUGGAUUCAAAUAUACAAUAUGAUGUUAUUAAUUUAUACUUUGCCUUUGAACAUAGAUAAUACAUUACAUCUCAUUGAUCCGUUACUUUAAUUAAAAACCAGCAACGCCAUAAAAGAAAAAAUAAUAAUAAAUAAAAGCAAGAAAGAGAUAAAAAAGAAUGCAAGAUUUUAUUAUUAUUCGGUGGGGCAACACAAGCAUGAUUGAGAAAAGGAAAGGUAAUUUUUUUGUGGAAUAACUUAAUUAAUUAAUUUUUGAGCUUAUUAUUUAAAAAUACUAGUUCGAGUAUUAUAGAUAUCGAGAUUACCAGAAAUCUAUAUAAUUAUUAAUUUUAAAAUCUUGAAGAAUUAAUCAACAUACAUUUCAACUGUCUCGAACAUUAUAAAAGAAAAUUAGAAAGUUCCUUUUUUUUUUUUUUUACAGUUCGAUCAUUGAAAAUAUAAAAGAUAAAAAACCAAUGCAGACUCAAGAUCCCAAUUAAACCAUACCCAUUUACUUCAACACUCACUAAACAGAAAAAAAUUCAAAAUCCAAUCUUUACUUGUCCAUUAUGACCCUCAGGUAAAUAAAACACUCUUUCUCCAUGCUUGGGAACAUCACAAGUGGAACUACACAUGCCUUCCAUAACUCUAUGUUAUCCUAGAACCAAAAAGUCAAUUUUCCUAGAAAACAAACAAAAUAAAUAAUGUCAUUUCACACUUCACCUUCAUUGUUCCCCAGUGGAAUUUACCAUCCUCCUCUUCCUAUUCCUCGAUUCGUAGCCAUCACUUUUUAAAACCCACCAAGCAACAAAAGCAGCAGCCAAAGUCGACAAUAACUUGAAGAAUCGUGCUUUCAAAAUAGAGACGUGCGAGAGAAGAAAAAUGCGAGACAACCAGAGAGGCAGAAGCGGGGUUGGCUAUGAAAGGGCUUUGGUGGACAUCGAGAGAGAAAAGGUUGAGAUGAGGAAAGGAGUGCAGGUUGUGAGAGUGAAUUUUUGGAUUUGAGUUAUUUUAAGACACUUUUCUAUUUAUAAUUCUGUUAAGUUAAUAAUAUUUUUAAUUUUUUGGUUUAACAAUUCUGGUCCGGUCUCCUUCUAUCGGUUUCAGAAUUUUAAAACUGAAACUAAACAGAAUUUAUUUAUUUUUGUUUUUUAAUAGGUUAUUUUUUGUUAGGGUUUUUUGGUUUUUUUUUUUUUAGUUUAAUAAGUUUUUUGGUUUUUUUUUUCUCAUCCCUAAUUAAAAUAUUACUAUCCAUUCAUUAUGCAUUUUUUUUAAAGUUUUCUAUGUAGCUCUAGUUAAUAUUUGCAAUUGAGUUCCUAGUUUUAAUAAUCUUUGCAUUUAAGUAACAAUAUUUCAUUAUAUUCUUGUUUUUAUCUCUAAAUAGCUGUAAGAGAAACGAAAGGAGAGGAAAAAUACUCCAAUUAAGGUAUUUUCCGGUCAUGAAAUUGUUAAACUUGGUUUUUAUGUGUUCAAUUGACUUCAAUAAUAUAUUGAGUUUUUUUAUUUGGUUGGGUUUUGAAGGUUUCUUUGCCAAUUAAGAUGUAUUUUGAUGUAUUUUAAGACUGAAAAUGAGUUUAUAAAGGUUGUUAGCAUAAUAUUUUGGUGUGUAGAGUGGAAAAUGAAAGAUUUGGAGUUGUAUGACUAAAACUAUAUUUUUGUAAUUUUCUAGCAACCAAACGGUUAUCAAAAAUAUUAAGUGGUCAAAAUUUUUUUUGGGAAAAGUAAUGGCUAUUUUUUUUCUUUACCUCUAUUUUUAAAAAAAAUUACAAUUUACAUUUUUUAAAUUUAUGAGUUCAUAACACUUUAUAACACGUUAUCAACAAAUAUUAUAAAGUAUUUCAUAUUCUUUUAUUAUGCAAAACAUAGUUGAUUUUUUAUUGUCACCAUAAGAUAAACCACUCACACACUUGAAGACUCCAUUAUCAAUUUAUCAAGGAUUGUAAGAGAUAAUGGAGAAUUUAGCUCUUCUUAUUAAGAAUAAAAAAGUAUUUUCUUCAGACAUCCAUCGAAAUAUAAAAAAAGCACAUCAAAUUUAUCUCCUUUCGAAAUUUUCCAUCAGAGACCACCAAAGGAAUGCAUAAUGGACACAGAGUUGAAGAUAAAGGGGAGAAACAUUAGAAGGGUUAGGGGUGGAGACAAACAUUUUGCAUUUAUCAAUGGAAUAAUUUUUUUUGAAAAAAAAAAUAAAGAUUUUUUUAAAUUAUUUUUUAUAUAAUUACCAAGGGAAAUUAAUUUUGUCGGCAAAUGGUAAGAAAUAGUUGAAAAAAUUAACAAAUUAAUUAAUUUUUCAUCAUUAUUUAACGGUGCAAACUAAUCUCUUAAUAAUGGUAUUGGUAAUAGUUUUUUUUUAAGCUAAUUCUGUUAGUAAGAAGUAGCAAUUUAAAUUUUUUUCUUUAAAUAAAAGUUUUUUUUAAGUUGUGAGUUUUUUUUAAACUACUUAAGUGUGAUUAAUUCUUAAUUUUUUAAACUUUUUAUGUUCAUGUAUUUAUUUCAAUUUAUCAACUUAUAUUUUGAGGUUUUUAAUUGGAGAAGUUCAGGAUCUGUAUUGUCUUUCUAAUUUUAAUGACUCUAUUAUCAUAUUAAUUUUAAUAUGUGAAUUUGAGUUUCAUAUAAAGGACUUGAAUCUUAUUAUGGAUGAUAUAUUUAAAUUAAUUUUUUGUAUUACUCUUCAAUUUAAAAUAAAAUAAGAUGUAUCUUUACUCAAUAUUAGUUGCGCUUUGCAAGAAUAAUAGUUCACUAUUUAAUGGGUGAUCCAAUGCGUCUUAAGCUAAAUAAUAGAGAUAGUUUGUUCCUCUUACGUAAUUAUAACUGAGAAAUUAUAGUCAUUGAAAGUCAAACCUUGAGAAAGUUGUCGGAUAUAUAAUAAAAUAAUAUUUUUUUUUAUUUUAAAAAAAUUAUUUUUAACAUUAAUACAUUAAAACAAUAUAAAAAUACCAAACAAAUUAAUUUAAAAUAAAACUAAUUUUUUUAAAAUAUAUUUUUAAAAUACAAAAACAACAUCAUUAAAAUGAAAUAAAGAUGGUAUAACUUUUGAUAAACAAGGUUUGUCUGAUACUCGUGUCCACAUGCUCAGAAGGCUAUAGCUGUGGAAAAGGCAUCGAAGAUUAAAUGAAUUUUUGAAUCACAUUGUCCACAUGCUCACAAGGUUCAAUGGAUUUUUGAAUCUGACCACAUAAAUGCAAUAAUCAAUUCAAUUUAUGACAACGAGAACAGAACAUGUUGGAUGCAUAACUUCAUGUCUGUUGAAUAUUGAAUUUUUUUAUAUAAAUAUAUUUUAAAAAAAUGAAAACUAUGGUACUCCCAAAAUUGUAUUGACUGGUUGCCUCUUUUAGCUUCUUUCAAUUCAAAUAGAAUAUUUUUUUAAUAAAAAGAUUUACAGAUCACUUUCACUCGGAUUGAGACUAUUUUAAUGGAAGCCACAGUAGUCGCUUUACCAUAGACAUUUCUUAUAAGAGGUAUCCAAGAAUCCUUCACCCCCACACCAAACCAAACUAUGGCUUCCUUUAUCUCUCUUUCCAGUAGCAUCCCUUUAGCUGCCUCCUCUUUCUUGCCUUCCUUCCCGAAAACACACCGAGUUUCCAGAAUUAAAAAGCCAAACCGUCACAAUAUCCCGAUUGUUUCUUGCAAAUCAGGCAAGAAUGAUCAUGAACAAAACCCUGCCACCAGAAGAGAUCUGCUCAUUGGUCUCGGUGGACUCUAUGGAGCAACUAGUCUUAGUGAUCCGUUUGCCUAUGCUAACCCCAUUGCACCCCCAGACAUAACCCAAUGUGAGCUAGUUACCCUGCCAACCGAAAGUGACCCCUCGAACUGUUGCCCUCCAACAUCCACAAAGAUCAAAAACUUCGAAUUCCCUUCUGCGUCCUCCCCAAUGCGCAUUAGGCCUGCUGCUCAUUUAGUUGAUAAAGCCUACGUAGCUAAAUACGCCAAAGCCAUUGCACUGAUGAAAAGUCUUCCUGACGAUGAUCCACGUAGCUUCAAGAGCCAAGCCGACGUUCAUUGUGCUUAUUGUGAUGGUGCUUAUCACCAAGCAGGCUUUCCUGAUUUAGACCUUCAAAUUCACUUCUCGUGGCUCUUCUUCCCCUGGCAUAGACUCUAUUUAUACUACUUCGAAAGAAUCUUGGGUAAACUGAUUGAUGAUCCAACUUUCGCUUUGCCUUUCUGGAAUUGGGAUGCCCCUGCCGGCAUGCAAAUGCCAGCCAUUUUCACUGACCCCGAAUCACCACUUUAUGACCCCCUUCGCGAUGCGAAUCACCAACCUCCGACAUUGCUUGAUCUUAAUUACGCGAAAGGAGAUGCGAAUCCAGACCCUGCAAAAGCAGGGGAAUUGUAUGCAAGCAAUCUUAACGUAAUGUACAGGCAAAUGGUGUCCGGUGCCACGAAGCCUACUCUCUUUUUUGGAAAACCAUAUCGUGCUGGUGAUGAUCCAAGCCCUGGAAUGGGUACAAUUGAGACCACCCCACACACUCAGAUUCACUACUGGACCGGCGACCCCAAUCAAACUAACGGGGAAAAUAUGGGCAAUUUCUACUCAGCAGGGAGAGAUCCCAUAUUUUAUUGUCAUCACUCGAACGUCGACCGAAUGUGGGACUUGUGGAAGAAAAUACCUGGAGGCAAACGAAAGGAUAUCGAGGAUCCUGAUUGGCUUAAUUCAGAGUUUCUUUUCUGGGAUGAGAAUAAAGAGCUGGUUCGAGUAAAGGUUAAAGAUACUCUUGACACCAAGAAGCUAAGAUAUGGCUUUCAAGAUGUUCCUAUUCCUUGGCUGAAAACUAGAGCAACACCAAAAUUAACAAGGCAGGAAAAAUCACGUCGUGCAGCUAAAAAAAGCGUUGUAUUAACACCAAUUAGUGCAUUCCCUGUUGUCUUGGAUAAAGUCAUAAGUGUGGAGGUUUCCAGGCCAAAGAAAUCAAGAAGCGCGACGGAGAAAGAAGAUGAAGAUGAAGUUUUGGUUAUUGAAGGGAUUGAGUAUGAAGAAAAUCAAUUAAUUAAGUUCGAUGUCCUCGUCAACGAUGAACCUGAUUCACCUGGUGGACCAGACAAGUCCGAGUUUGCAGGAAGUUUCGUCAAUGUGCCUCACAAGCAUGCAAAAAAAUCAAAGACAACUAUGGUAUUGGGGAUUACAGGAUUGUUGGAAGAUCUGGAAGCUGAAGGGGAUGAUACCCU